CAAGUCGAACGAGAAAGCGUAGCAAUACGUGAGUAAAGUGGCGCACGGGUGAGUAACACGUGACUAACCUACCCUUGAGUGGGGGAUAACUGAGGGAAACCUCAGCUAAUACCGCAUAAUACCUACGGGUCAAAGGAGCAAUUCGCUUAAGGAGGGGGUCGCGGCAGAUUAGCUAGUUGGCGGGGUAAUGGCCCACCAAGGCGAUGAUCUGUAUCCGGCCUGAGAGGGCGCACGGACACACUGGAACUGAAACACGGUCCAGACUCCUACGGGAGGCAGCAGUGGGGAAUUUUGCGCAAUGGGGGAAACCCUGACGCAGCAACGCCGCGUGGAGGAUGAAGUACUUCGGUACGUAAACUCCUUUCGAUCGGGACGAUAAUGACGGUACCGAGAGAAGAAGCCCCGGCUAACUUCGUGCCAGCAGCCGCGGU
rnacentral:rRNA from 1 species